GGCUUGUCGCUGCUGAAAAGGAGAGGAAAGUCCGGGCAACACAGGGCAUCUCGCUUCCUAACGGGAAGAGGUCCGCGAGGGUCUGAUAGUGCAGAAGAAAACAACCGCCUGCAAAGGUAAGGGUGAGAAGGUGGGGUAAGAGCCUACCAGGUCGGCAGUGAUGUCGAUGCUGUGCACUCCGAGAGUUGAAAGUUCAUGUAAACCGGCGAAGCUUUUGUUUGGCGAAAGUCAGCGAAAGAGAGAGAGCGGCCCGCUCGAGUUGGAGGGUAGAACGAUAGAGGAUAGUGGUGACAUUGUCCGUAGAUAAAUGACAAGCAUCCCCCAAAAGGGAAACAGAACCCGGCUUAUAGGUUCACUG
rnacentral:RNase_P_RNA from 1 species